GGGGUAGAGGUUUCGGGCCUUGAGACCGGCGCACGGGUGCGUAACGCGUAUGCAAUCUGCCUUACACUAAGGGAUAGCCCAGAGAAAUUUGGAUGGAGUACUUAUAGUAUAUUGAUGUGGGAUCGCAUUAUUAUUAAAGAUUUAUUGGUGUAAGAUGAGCAUGCGUCCCAUUAGCUAGUUGGUAUGGUAACGGCAUACCAAGGCAAUGAUGGGUAGGGGUCCUGAGAGGGAGAUCCCCCAGACUGGUACUGAGACACGGACCAGACUCCUACGGGAGGCAGCAGUGAGGAAUAUUGGUCAAUGGGCGCAAGCCUGAACCAGCCAUGCCGCGUGCAGGAUGAAGCAUCUAUGGUGUGUAAACUGCUUUUGUACGGGAAGAAACACCUCUUCGUGAAGAGGCUUGAC
rnacentral:rRNA from 1 species